UACGUAGGUCCCGAGCGUUGUCCGGAUUUAUUGGGCGUAAAGCGAGCGCAGGUGGUUUAUUAAGUCUGGUGUAAAAGGCAGUGGCUCAACCAUUGUAUGCAUUGGAAACUGGUAGACUUGAGUGCCGGAGAGGUAAGCGGAAUUCCUAGUGUAGCGGUGAAAUGCGUAGAUAUUAGGAGGAACACCAGUGGCGAAGGCGGCUUACUGGACGGCAACUGACGCUGAGGCUCGAAAGCGUGGGGAGCAAACAGG
rnacentral:rRNA from 1 species